rnacentral:rRNA from 1 species
GAUGAACGCUGGCGGCGUGCCUAAUACAUGCAAGUCGAGCGAACGGACGAGAAGCUUGCUUCUCUGAUGUUAGCGGCGGACGGGUGAGUAACACGUGGAUAACCUACCUAUAAGACUGGGAUAACUUCGGGAAACCGGAGCUAAUACCGGAUAAUAUUUUGAACCGCAUUGUUCAAAAGUGAAAGACGGUCUUUCUGUCACUUAUAGAUGGAUCCGCGCUGCAUUAGCUAGUUGGUAAGGUAACGGCUUACCAAGGCAACGAUGCAUAGCCGACCUGAGAGGGUGAUCGGCCACACUGGAACUGAGACACGGUCCAGACUCCUACGGGAGGCAGCAGUAGGGAAUCUUACGCAAUGGGCGAAAGCCUGACGGAGCAACGCCGCGUGAGUGAUGAAGGUCUUCGGAUCGUAAAACUCUGUUAUUAGGGAAGAACAUAUGUGUAAGUAACUGUGCACAUCAUGACGGUACCUAAUCAGAAAGCCACGGCUAACUACGUG